UCAGCGACUUAUAUUCUGUAGCAAGGUUAACCGUAUAGGGGAGCCGGAGGGAAACCGAGUCUUAAUUGGGCGUUAAGUUGCAGGGUAUAGACCCGAAACCCGGUGAUCUAGCCAUGGGCAGGUUGAAGGUUGGGUAACACUAACUGGAGGACCGAACCGACUAAUGUUGAAAAAUUAGCGGAUGACCUGUGGCUGGGGGUGAAAGGCCAAUCAAACCGGGAGAUAGCUGGUUCUCCCCGAAAGCUAUUUAGGUAGCGCCUCGUGAAUUCAUCUCCGGGGGUAGAGCACUGUUUCGGCUAGGGGGCCAUCCCGGCUUACCAACCCGAUGCAAACUGCGAAUACCGGAGAAUGUUAUCACGGGAGACACACGGCGGGUGCUAACGUCCGUCGUGAAGAGGGAAACAACCCAGACCGCCAGCUAAGGUCCCAAAGUCAUGGUUAAGUGGGAAACGAUGUGGGAAGGCCCAGACAGCCAGGAUGUUGGCUUAGAAGCAGCCAUCAUUUAAAGAAAGCGUAAUAGCUCACUGGUCGAGUCGGCCUGCGCGGAAGAUGUAACGGGGCUAAACCAUGCACCGAAGCUGCGGCAGCGAACGUAUCACCCAAGACAACUUUACGGAGUUGACGAUUGACGGAGCGAAGCGACGUCAAAGCGUUCAUUAAAGUCGAGUUGGCUUAGGGAUACGUUCGUUGGGUAGGGGAGCGUUCUGUAAGCCUGUGAAGGUGUGUCGUGAGGCAUGCUGGAGGUAUCAGAAGUGCGAAUGCUGACAUAAGUAACGAUAAAGCGGGUGAAAAGCCCGCUCGCCGGAAGACCAAGGGUUCCUGUCCAACGUUAAUCGGGGCAGGGUGAGUCGACCCCUAAGGCGAGGCCGAAAGGCGUAGUCGAUGGGAAACGGGUUAAUAUUCCCGUACUUGGUGUUACUGCGAAGGGGGGACGGAGAAGGCUAUGUUGGCCGGGCGACGGUUGUCCCGGUUUAAGCGUGUAGGUGUGUGUUCCAGGUAAAUCCGGUUCACUUUAACACUGAGGCGUGACGACGAGGCACUACGGUGCUGAAGCAACAAAUGCCCUGCUUCCAGGAAAAGCCUCUAAGCAUCAGGUAACACGAAAUCGUACCCCAAACCGACACAGGUGGUCAGGUAGAGAAUACCAAGGCGCUUGAGAGAACUCGGGUGAAGGAACUAGGCAAAAUGGUGCCGUAACUUCGGGAGAAGGCACGCUGACACGUAGGUGAAGUGAUUUACUCAUGGAGCUGAAGUCAGUCGAAGAUACCAGCUGGCUGCAACUGUUUAUUAAAAACACAGCACUGUGCAAACACGAAAGUGGACGUAUACGGUGUGACGCCUGCCCGGUGCCGGAAGGUUAAUUGAUGGGGUCAGCGUAAGCGAAGCUCCUGAUCGAAGCCCCGGUAAACGGCGGCCGUAACUAUAACGGUCCUAAGGUAGCGAAAUUCCUUGUCGGGUAAGUUCCGACCUGCACGAAUGGCGUAAUGAUGGCCAGGCUGUCUCCACCCGAGACUCAGUGAAAUUGAACUCGCUGUGAAGAUGCAGUGUACCCGCGGCAAGACGGAAAGACCCCGUGAACCUUUACUAUAGCUUGACACUGAACAUUGAGCCUUGAUGUGUAGGAUAGGUGGGAGGCUUUGAAGUGUGGACGCCAGUCUGCAUGGAGCCGACCUUGAAAUACCACCCUUUAAUGUUUGAUGUUCUAACGUGGACCCGUAAUCCGGGUUGCGGACAGUGUCUGGUGGGUAGUUUGACUGGGGCGGUCUCCUCCUAAAGAGUAACGGAGGAGCACGAAGGUUGGCUAAUCCUGGUCGGACAUCAGGAGGUUAGUGCAAUGGCAUAAGCCAGCUUGACUGCGAGCGUGACGGCGCGAGCAGGUGCGAAAGCAGGUCAUAGUGAUCCGGUGGUUCUGAAUGGAAGGGCCAUCGCUCAACGGAUAAAAGGUACUCCGGGGAUAACAGGCUGAUACCGCCCAAGAGUUCAUAUCGACGGCGGUGUUUGGCACCUCGAUGUCGGCUCAUCACAUCCUGGGGCUGAAGUAGGUCCCAAGGGUAUGGCUGUUCGCCAUUUAAAGUGGUACGCGAGCUGGGUUUAGAACGUCGUGAGACAGUUCGGUCCCUAUCUGCCGUGGGCGCUGGAGAACUGAGGGGGGCUGCUCCUAGUACGAGAGGACCGGAGUGGACGCAUCACUGGUGUUCGGGUUGUCAUGCCAAUGGCACUGCCCGGUAGCUAAAUGCGGAAGAGAUAAGUGCUGAAAGCAUCUAAGCACGAAACUUGCCCCGAGAUGAGUUCUCCCUGAGACUUAGAGUCUCCUGAAGGAACGUUGAAGACGACGACGUUGAUAGGCCGGGUGUGUAAGCGCAGCGAUGCGUUGAGCUAACCGGUACUAAUGAACCGUGAGGCUUAACCUUACA
rnacentral:rRNA from 1 species